CAUGAAUCUUGACUCAGGAGAGACCGAAUAGACAGAGCUUUCACUCUGUCAUAAAGCCAUACAGAUAUUGCUAAGCACAUACACGCUGUCUCAAGCAUGUGAUCUUCUCAAGAGGAAGUCCUCAGAAGGAGGCAUUGGCAACCCCAUUGGUCACACAUAGUUCAUCUUACAUGCACUUGACAACUGGGUGACAUGGGUUUGCAAGAUGACUUUAUCCAAAGAAAAUAAAAACAUAUCUUUGAACAAAGGGAAGUUUUGUAACUUGGUACAAGGAAUUAAGUGGGGCUUCUAAGUUGGGCUCUUCCCUAAAUUAAAGUAGGUUCCUAAGUGAGGCUUCUGCUUCUUUCAAAAGGGAGAUAGGGACACUGUGGUCCCUGAGGAUUGAUUACAUUGCCAAGCAAGGUUCCAGGUUCUUGAGAAAAAUACAUUCCUCCCUCAGCAUGUAGCUGAUCAUUUAUCUUCUUAAAGGGCUCACAUACAUCUACAAGAGAUGGAAAGAACUCACCAUUCCCAGUUUGCUAAAGUAAGAAAGAGAGUGGAAGAAGAGGGAGGGGGAGGUCUCUUCUCUUGUUUUGUACAGGAAGACUAAAGCCUGUUCUCAAAGUCUAUUUGCUCUCACGAAGUCAGACACUGAUAACUGGAGGUGAAUGUCCCUUGUCGGAUUGCCCAGGGUGGCCCUGGGGUGUCUUCCAUUUGAAGAUAAAGCCUGUGGACUAGAAGUGUGUUUCUUCAAUGUUAUAGGCGUCAUGGGCAGCAUGAAGAAAUUUUCAUCCCCUGCAAAGAUCUGAGGCUCAGACUCAGACCAUUUCCAGGAAUCUCUGGGUCACAGCUGAGGGGAUACAGAGUUGCUCCUGUUCACGGAGACACUUCAUGAAUGUGGGUUGGGCUGAAAGUUGGCAUGCUUCGUGGAGCUCGGAUAGCAGGAAAGCACGCAAACCUGUGGUUUGAGGUUUUUUGCUUCAGGGAGAUGAGACAACUUAUUCAGUUUCCUGAGGACUCCACGCCCUUUUGAGCUUGGGGCCUAUAGAACUAUCCACCUCUGACUGACACUUCCUAGGCGGAGACCGUAGGCUCUAUCCUGGCUGCCUGUCCCAUGGCCUGUGACAGAGAACCUGAGGGGCCAGGGAUGGGCUCCUUUCCCAUUCUGUGUGGCUGGUUGGUCCUGGCUGCUCUGAGUGCAGAAGCCUCUGUCAGCCUGAUGGAGCAAAGCCCCCGGUGGACCCUAGUGCAGACUGGGUGGACAAAGACUCUCCGCUGCAUCCUGAAGGAUUCUCAGUACCCCUGGAUGAGCUGGUACCAGCAAGAUCUCCAGCAACAGCUGCAGUUUCUUGUCAGCCUGAGGAGUGCUGGAGACAAGGAGUCCAUAUCUCUUCCUGGAGCUGAUUACCUGGCCACGAGGGUCAGUGAGACAGAGCUGCUGCUGCAGGUGGCCAACGUGACUCAGGGCAGAACCCUCUUCUGCACCUGCAGUAAAGACACAGUGAGGAACCUUGCUGGGGCAUUUGAAUAA